CACGGAACCCAAACUGCUCGUCUAUUAA
rnacentral:sRNA from 1 species